rnacentral:tRNA from 1 species
GGAGAGGUGACCGAGUGGCCGAAGGUGUGCGCUUGGAAAGCGUAUGUAUCGCAAGGUACCGGGGGUUCGAAUCCCCCCCUCUCCG